rnacentral:misc_RNA from 1 species
UCCCCGUUACCGGGGCAGUCUGAUUAGAAAAAUACAACUAAUCACAAGGGUUGCGCUCGUUGAUGGACUUAACCAAACAUCUCACGACACGAGCUGACGACGGCCAUGCAUCAUCUGUCACCGAGUUCAAUAAAGCACUCACUACUUUCGUAGUAAUUCUCGGGAUGUCAAACCCUGGUAAGGUUUGUCGGUUAGCAUCGAAUUAAAGAACACGAUCCACCGCUUGUGCGGGUCCCCGUCAAUUCCUUUAUGUUUUAGUCUUGCGACCGUACUCCACAGGCGGGAUACUUAACGCGUUAGCUUCGCUACUGGAGGGGUCGAUACCCCCAACAGCUAGUAUCCAUCGUUUACGGCGUGGACUAC